AACCAAGGAGGGGGCGGGCCCUGGGGCUGGCUGUGUUUACCGUGUGUGGGGUGAAGGCGGUUGGGUGGGAGUCGCCGCGCCCCUCAACGGGGCCGCGGGCGCCAUGGGGCUCCGCAGGAAGGGCAGGAGCCCGCCGGUGCUCAGCCCCGAGUUCGUCCUUCAGAACCACGCGGACGCCGCGUCCUACCUGGCCGUGGGCAUCCUGCUGGGGCUGAUGUUCGAGGUCACAGCCAAGUACGUCAUCAUCUUUAUUACUGUGCAGUACAAUGUCACCUAUACCAUUGAUGACAAGAGUGAACAUGUUAAUUUUUAUGAAUAUGGUCCUAAAGACAUUGCUACAAUCUUCUUCUACAUGCUCAUAGCUAUUAUUCUGCAUGCUGUAAUCCAGGACUACAUAUUAGAUAAAAUUAAUAGACGUCUGCAUUUGUCAAAAACAAAACACAGCAAAUUCAAUGAAUCAGGACAGCUAGCAUUUUUCUACUUAUUUUCAUUUGUAUGGGGAGCCAGUAUUUUGAAUGCAGAAGAAUUCACGGUGAACCCAACGUUACUGUGGAAAGAUUAUCCCCAUUCUCGUAUGCUUUUUCAGGUAAAAUUCUUCUAUAUUUGCCAGAUAGCCUAUUGGCUUCACGCACUGUCAGAACUAUACUUUCAGAAGAUCCGAAAGGAAGAUAUUCCAAGGCAGCUAUGUUAUAUUUGCCUUUACAUUGCUCAUAUCUCUGGUGCCUAUAUAUUAAAUUUGCAGCGUUUGGGGCUAAUUCUGAUGGUACCUCACUAUUUAGUGGAACUCAUUUUUCAUGCUUCACGUCUUUUCUACUUCAGUGAUGAAAACAAGCAAAAAGGAUUUACUGUCUGGGCUUUACUUUUCGUAAUGGUGCGUCUUCUGACCCUAACUUUAUCCGUCCUCACAUUUGGAUUUGGUCUGGCCAAAGUAGAGAAUCCAGGUUUCUCCAUAGCAGAUGGAAACUUCAAUGUACUCAGUGUGAGGAUUAGCUGCCUGGGUGCUGUUUGUUUAACGCAGGCCUGGAUGAUGUGGAAAUUUAUAAAUUUUCAGCUGAAGAAAUGGAGAGAGCAUAUUAAGAAGCAAAUUCCAAAGAAGAAAAUAACAAACACAAAGAACAAACUGACAAAAAAGGAACUAAACAGAGACAGAGCUUAUCAGUGGGCCCCAACAAGUUUCUAUACUGAUGUAUUCAUAAACAAAUUGGUGAAGUAACAAAACCUACCAAUGAGACAAAACUUCAGAUGCCUGACAGGAGAGCGUUGUGGAGUGAUCUUGCAAACAUGGAGAAUGCUCACGUCAUCAAUGGAGCAGCAAAGCUAGAAGAUGGAGAAUCACCAAGAAUAAGAAAAUGAAAAACAGUACAUGUAUGAGAUACAAGCUAAUAUCAGAAGACAAUGUUUGACAGAAUGCUGAGUUAAAGAAUUGAUCCUGCAAAGCUAUAAUUUGGAUGUCUCAUUAUUUAAGUGGACACUAUCAGGUUAUAUUUUUACAAUAUUUUUGUUAAUAACCCUAACUUUAUGAUAGGAUCCUCUUUGAUCUAGUUUAUCCCAGUAGUCAUAUUUAAACUCACUUAUCUCUAACAAUAAAAAUGGACAGAUCAAUUGUAACUUCCGGUUCUGUGAUCAGAAAUUAGUACAUUUUUAGUAUAUUUUAGUACAUUAGUAUAUUUUUAUUACAGAUAUUUCAGGAGGCUGUCUAAAUCUUAGUUGUUUGGUUUUAUGUUUUUAUACAAUCUAAAGUCUGUACCAGAAAGUUCUUACCAUAUUUGUUUAGCCUGUGUCUCCGUGAGAGUUAUUUUCUUUAUUGCACUCCUCUUAUAUGGAGUAAGAGGAGUAUCUAGAAGCUAUAUUGCAAAAAUAUACAGAAAAAUGCAAAAAUGCUUUAUAACUAAUUUCCAUUCGAAGAUUACAGAUUUAGAGUGCAAAUUCUGACAGGACAUUGCUAAUCUUGCAGUAUAAAGAUGUGGACUAUCUUUAGUAAAGAUGCAAAUUGUGUCCCUUGGCAGAAAUGGUAGAUUGCCUGCUGGAUUUCUGCUAUGGAUUAUACCCUCUUGUAGGAGGAGGGCAAAUGGAGGUGGAAAAAAAAAGUAGCCAGUUAAUAUCUGUUGUAUUUUAGCCCUUUGGAAGUUUUGUCGUUCAUUUUAAAAUAUUUUAAAAAGUUAGUAUUUUACACUUGCAACCACAUGCCAAUUUUUUUCCUCAACUGUUUUAUUUUCCUUUAAUUUGUAACAGCUGCUUCUUAAACUUGAGUCUAAUAUUGUUCAGGGAGGCAUUCAAACAGUAUAGCAAUGAAUGCUAUACCAAGCAUAACCUAAAGGCCUUUUUUUUUUUUCUUUGUCUCUGGAUAAUAAUUUAUUUUAGUCUCUGACUCAAGGUUUUUUGUUUUCAAAGGUAUUAAUUUGCUCCUUAUGUGAACACUUUAUUUAGAUGUUAUUUUAAUAUUAAUAUGCUUAUAUUAAAAUGAAUUAUUUAACUAUAGAGAGAUUAAUGGUAUUUUUGUAAAUAACUCUCUUAGGUCUUGAUGUUGAUAUCUUGAUGUUGAAUAAGUUUCAGGAACACAGUUUCUUAUUUGCCAUAACCUUCUGUGUGACUAAAUUGUAGGAAUAUUACAUUAUUCACAUAAACCUAUACAUUUCUACUAAAAGUGCGUACUAUGGAACUAGACUACAUUUGUUGAUACUUUUAAUGGACUUAAGUACUACUGAAUGCCUUGUUCAGUGAAAGUACCACCUCUUGAGCAGUUCGAAUGAGAUUUGCCUAGCCUUCAAGUAUUUCUCAGCAUGCUGCUCAAAAGGCAGUGUUUAAAGUAUACUGCAACUGCAAGCCUGAAGUUCUUGUCGAUUUCAGUGUGUUUAUACCUAAGUUAGCAAACUUUCAGACUGAAUCCAGAGGGGGUGUAGGUUCCAGUAUCCAUUUCUAGGCACAUGAAACUAGAUAACUUGGAACAUUAAAGACCUUUUUGGCAAGUGUUACCAGAAAGUAUGUUACUAAUACUACCACUUGAAUAAACUGAUAACACUCUUGGAUGUUCUUAAUCCACUCACAACACUCACGAUGGCCAUAUAUAUAUAUAUAUAUUAAAGACUGUAAUUUUUUUAUUUGAAGUAUUGUUGUAGAAAUACUAGUGCGAAGUCUCAGACAGGAUUUUCAAAAGUCUUAGAAAUGCAGGUCCUAAGUGCCAUGAAACAGACAAGUCAGCCUAUGCUUAAGGUCUAGGCUAAAGACUAUGCAAUAUGUUGGGGUAUGUGUUGGGGGGUUGUUUGUUGUUUUUUGUUUUUUUAACAGUUUUAUCAGUAUGCUUUUUUUUUUUCCUCCAGAGAACUAUGAAUGUCACAGAGUAACAAUCAAAUUAGAUGUUGACUUGUUCCUGUUUCAACCGUGUAGCCUUUGCUGAAGUUGCAUGAAAUCCGUUAGCACAGAUGUUGAGGCAUGUUCCCUAGUGGUGUGAUGUUAUAAUAAAUGAUCCUGUUAAGUAUUUUAAACAUUUAAGGCAUUAAUUUAUGUGAAUCUUAAGACUUUCAGAGCAAUUGUAUGUAGUAUUUUCUAACAAUCUAAUUGUAAACUUUAUAGGGUAGAAGUGCUCUGCAUAGUCACGUGUGUGCACAUCAAAAUGUAAAAUACUACCAUUCACCUGCUUUGGAAAACCAAAAUUAUAUUCUUUUACUUAUAACUUUCCUUUCCUCUCAGUGAGUAUCUAAGAUUAUUUUAUUUUUAUUUUGUUUUAAAGAUAAAACAGCAUCUCUUAGUGCAGAAAAUCUUACAUUACGAAUUUGCAUUUCUGGUUUUGAACAGUGUGAUAGGAAUGAACAGAUUUUCUUUUCAAUUUUUUUCCCCAAAAUCAAGACAAAUUCUUAAGCCGAUAUAUUUUGCAUCCUCUUCUUAAAAAGGUUUUGAGUUGACCACUUGAAGCAGAAUAGUUUGAAGGCUGUAUAGUGGCAUAAGGGAUUUGGAUGAUGGUGUUACUGUUGCCUGCUCCUGUUUAAAAGUCUACUAAAAACUAAUUAUUCUAAGUUCUAAACACAGAGGAUGUUGUCUUGGAGCUAGAGUUAGCAAAUUCUGCAAACAUAAGAAUUUCUAAAUGCUCAGUGUUUUGGAAUGCUGUGUAACUAUGCAAAUUGUUUCAUUAUGUUGUAGAUAAGUGAACUGGGAUGACAAAAGCAAUAUUUCAUCUGUAUUUGUUUCUUAGUAUUAGAAUGGGUUGCUACAUCUACUUAAAUUGAAAGCACACUUGUACUGCCUUUCUUAAACGAUCUGAAUGUUGACUGUCACCACAGAAAGUUCUAGCAGUUAGAGAAAUGGGUGGAAGAGCGCUGAUAUAUUGUAAAGUAUUAAAUUUUAGGUGUUUAGCUUUAAGUGUCAGUAGCUGGCAGUCACUUUAUGAACUUACUGACCAGAAACAAGAGAGUGAUGUUUACAAACAAUAUCAUUCUAACACUUCUAUUUGAUGCUUUUACAAUUAUCUCCUAAAAUGUAGAGUUACUCUACCUUGAAACCAACAGUGUACUGUGGGUUAUGUUGAAUGUGUGUCUGUCUGAUUGCAACAAAUACACGGGCUUGUUUUUAAUUCUA